AUGGACACACUCACUCUGCUGUGGGCUGCUCUCUGUCUGAUCUGUGUGAAGUGUGAGACACUGACACAGCCAACCUCUGUGACUGUGCAGCCAGGACACACUCUCACCAUCCCCUGUACUGUCUCAUACUCUCUUGGCUACUGGACAGCAUGGAUCAGACAGCCUGCUGGGAAAGGCCUGGAGUGGAUUGGAAUGAAAUACACAGGAGGCUCUCACUAUAAAGAUUCUCUGAAGAGCAAAUUCAGUAUUGAUUUAGACACUUCCACAAAAACAGUGACUCUGAAUGGACAGAACAUGCAGCCUGGAGACACUGCAGUGUACUACUGUGCUCGAGAGCCACAGUCACACAAAGUAUAUGUAGAGCUGUACAAAAACAGUAAAGAGUGCAAUUCACAGAUGAAGACCAAAUGACUUCUUCUGUGUGAUCAUCACAGCAAACCAGUCACACAGCAACAUGAGAGACUUUUUCUAUGUGUGGACACCAGGUAAAAGACUGAAUACAGAAAACUGUAUUUGUAUGUAGAAAAAAAAACUAAAAUAAUAUUGAUAAUGAUCAUAAAUGUGUAUGGGGAAAUUUAUUUCAAAAGUUUUCUAGCAUUUAAGUUAAAUUCUAUAAUAAGUUUAAAAAGUUGGUGCAAGUUAACAUAUAUACAAAUUUAAGAAUUAGUAAAGUGGUUUCACAGUGAAAUUAGACUAAUAAUGAAAUCGUCCUGAGCUCGAGCUGAGCAGCAGUUAGAGUGACAGACAGACAGUUCAGUGUUUCUGUGCAGAGGUGAAUCAUUGUGCAUAUAGCAGCGGCCACAGUGAAAAACACCAUGACAAAAACAUGAGUGCAGGAGCAUCUACAAUCCUGAAAUACUUCUACAGCUAUAGAGCUAUAAACCACAAAAAAACAAACAAACUCUAAGUUAAAAUCAUAAUGCACAUGGAGCUGAUAAUAUUUAGUUUCAUUCUUUCAUCCAAGAUUCUUUUAUAUGUGUUAGUUUUCCAUCAGCUACAAUCACCAGAGGAGAGUUGUGAUAUGGCAAUACUCAGGUCAUAGUUAAAAUAUUUUAAACUUCAACUACAGCACAGCAACAUGCAACCUGAACUCAAGUCUCUAUAUUACUUUAUCCACAGAUGCAGCCCGUGUCCCGGUGCAUCUAUAACAUCCCCCUAACACCCCCACUGCUCUGCUUUUACUAUGUUAUAUCUAUAUAGUGGAAAAAAUGAAAUAGCAAUGAUUUCUUUCAGGAUACUGUUAUGUUUUGUGUUUGACAGUGAGAAAGCUGUAACAGAAUGUAACGUCAGAAGAUGAAAAUGGUAUUAAUAUUUAUUGGUUUUAUGGAUCCAUUUAGACCACUAACAGAUCAGAACUGUCUUUAUUUCCAGUGUAGUUUUUGUUCAGCUCCUCCCUGUGACUCUCUCAUGUGUUUGUGUGUCAUCUACAGAUAGACAUAUCAGUGAACAAUGACUCAUAGAUUCAGAUCAAAUCAUUUGCAUUUGUUUAUAACCUGUGUCACUGUUUUAUGUGCAUAAUACUAGACUAGACUAACUAGAUUCACAAGACAAACAUGAAACAACAAACAACAAUUAAAACAUCACAUUUGAUUCAAGUGUGUGUCUGUUCAGAUUCUAGUUGUGUGUGUGUCAGUGAUCAUGAAAUCCUCCUGAUGUUGCAGCAUUAGUUAUAGUGACAAACAGCAGGGGGAGUUUAUGUGCAGAGGUGGAUCACGGUGAGUUUACAGUGG